rnacentral:rRNA from 1 species
GCUUACGGCCAUUCCACCCUGAACACGCCCGAUCUCAUCUCGGAAGCUAAGCAGGGUCGGGCCUGGUUAGUACUUGGAUGGGAGACCGCCUGGGAAUACCAGGUGCUGUAAGCU